rnacentral:lncRNA from 1 species
GCCGAGAAUUUUAUAAGGAGUCAACUCUCCGUCGAGAUGUGGUGGUGGUCAUGCCUCCGCCCCGUUCCUUCCCCCAUCGGCGUCGGAAGUCCUGGAGGAAUGCCCUGGUUUCCACGCAAUCCUUGGCCCGCGCUGACCAAUCUGCUGCCGACAGCCGUCGAAGAAGUUUCCCUCAACCCCUUCGACGGCGUUGAUGGAAAGAUCGAGGAAGAAUCAGAACCUGCGCACCGGUUGCUGGGGUGGGGGGGAGAAUCGGAUCUAGGAGGGGGAGGCUUGUACCUUUCAGUCGGAGGGAAUUUGGCGUCUCUUCUGCCCUAUGAUUCUGCCCGUCUGUUCUCUGCGACGAUCUUCAGAUCCCCGAUCGCCUCGGCGAAUUUUGAUCUUUUCCUUCCCAGGCUGAUUCUCCCCGAUUCGGCGGUCCUUUUCCCCAUCUCCGCCAUCUGGAUAAUCCGGCGAUCGCCGGCUCCGUCUCCCCUCCUUUGCGGGUGAGAAGGGCUUCUUGACCGCGGGGAAGAGGGCGAGGGC